AGAUAUGUUUGAUAUUCUUGGUUGUUGAAUUGAAUCACCCAGGAAUCAAACAUAUUAUUA
rnacentral:pre_miRNA from 1 species